UACCAAAUGCUGGGGAAGGAAGAGGAGACAGAUCUGCCUCUGAUGCUGGGAACUUCAAGGGUCAGAGUAGACAGGCUAAUAUGGGUCUUAGCCUUCAGAGCUGUUCCUGGGUCCUGACUCCACGCUGGUCUUCAUUGGGCCCAUUUCUUUCUCUGGUAUCGUGGCUGCUCUGUACCAAGGUCCCUAUCUCUCUUCUAGGUGUGGAAAUUAGUCGAGGCAGAAUCUGCAAGCUGGAGUUCUCUAUGCUGGGUCCAGACUUUAAGGAUAGAAGAAGUGAGCGUCAACACGGGGUGUCUUUGAAUAAGGAAGGACUCAAGCUCCUUCCCCGGGGAAGUAUGGCCAGGCCUCCAGCAAUUCUCCAGCUCCAAUGAGAUGUCAGCAUAUUCCCACAGUCACAGCCUCUGAGGAUCCCAGGAAAGAAUAAAGUGCUGUCCUCUGUACCUACACCAGCUGCCCUCCUGAAAGUCUCAUCUACACGGACCCCUGUGAACAGCUCUACAGGACCGCGACCACUGAGCCAGGCCGUCUCCAGGUCAGUUAGCUCAAGGUCACAGAACCUCCCCUGUGCCCUGUAGCUGUGAUUACAGGCGGAGCUUUCCAGAAAGGACAAGUUUGAUUAUUGGAGAGGGGGUCGAUAGAGUCCCCGGUAGAGAGGCGCAGAACCACCUCAGGCCUCAGUUUACCCUGAGAGUGGAACAACAAAGCCUUCAUCGCAGCCAGUCCCAGAGCCUCUGAUUCCAAACUGCAAGGAAGGGUAAGGCCCCUCGGCCCUAUCCCGCAUGGCCGGGGUGUACACAACUGCUAAUAGCAGUCAGGUCUUUUACCCUUGGAUGGUCCCUCUGAGCUAUGGGAACAGAGGAUGCCUGAGGCAGGGAGAAGGUAUGUUUGCCUCCCUCCCCCAGAUACAGUAGGAAGUGGGGGAACCUGAUGGGGUAGCAACUGGGGCCUAGAGAAUCACACCCCCCCACACUCCUCAAGUCCAAGGCCUUGUGGUCCCCUCUCCUGUUUAUUUCUCUAAGUCCUUCUGAGCGGCCAUGUCCAGGUCGAUUGUGACAGGGAGGUGAGUGAGAGCGACCAGAGCGACUUGCUGAAGCCAGACAUCACCCUGGUGAGUCCUGUGUUCCUUUCACAUGGUCCUCGGCUCUUAAGUGGCCCUGUCAAGAGCAACGGUCCCGGCUCUUCCUGAGAUCCUGACUCCAUGUGGUCCCUGAGGAAGUCACACUGGUAAGGAUGUCCUUACCUCACACCCCGAUCGUACUCUGCUGCCCUGGGCACCUCCCUUGUCCUGAUCGCCUGGUGGCCCAGGAAUCCCACCUAGUCUCUUUAGAGGGGUCAAGCUUUCACGGUGGCUUCUAGUUCUCAUCCCACGCCAGUGAGCAAAGUCCCCCCCCCCCCCCGAGGCAGCACGUGAGAAGUGACCUUAUAAUGUCAAGAUAUUGCUUAUAGCUUGCCGCCAAAUCAGGAAUCACAGACACGCUCUAGGCCCAUAGUCCUCAACCUGUGGGUCACGACCCCCCACUGGGGUCACCUAUCGGAUAUCCUGCAUAUCAGGUAUUUACA